rfam:Ovis aries breed Texel chromosome 1, whole genome shotgun sequence.
UGGCUCAGAGGUUAAAGCGUCUGCCUGGAAUGCAGGAGACCCGGGUUCAAUCCCUGG